rnacentral:lncRNA from 1 species
ACCAUUUUUAUCAAUUUUCAAUUUCAUGUGUUGUUUCCGUAAUGUUAUGUUUAAUUGCUCAUGUGUUGUUUUCGUAUAUUUUAGCCGCUCGUCUUGAGCCUACUCAUUUGAUCCAAUAACACCCCAUAUAGCAAUAAAAUUAUACUUUUAUUACCAUUCAUAACUCUUAACAGACCAAUUAACAGACCGGGUUUUAUACAUCCGACCCAUUAACAGACCAGGUUUUAAAUAAAGAUUGAUUUAUGUCACCAAAAUACAGAUUUUCG